GAUGAACGCUAGCGGCAGGCUUAAUACAUGCAAGUCGAGGGGCAGCACGGGUAGCAAUACCUGGUGGCGACCGGCAAACGGGUGCGGAACACGUACGCAACCUACCCAAAACUGAGGAAUAGCCCGGGGAAACCCGGAUUAAUACUUCGUAACAUAUUAGAGUGGCAUCACUUUAUUAUUAUAGCUCCGGCGGUUUUGGAUGGGCGUGCGCCUGAUUAGGUAGUUGGCAGGUAACGGCCACCAAGCCUACGAUCAGUAACUGGUGUGAGAGCACGACCAGUCACACGGGCACUGAGACACGGGCCCGACUCCUACGGGAGGCAGCAGUAAGGAAUAUUGGUCAAUGGACGCAAGUCUGAACCAGCCAUGCCGCGUGAAGGAUGAAGGUCCUCUGGAUUGUAAACUUUCUUUUACAAGGGAAGAAAUGCACGUUUUCUAAUGUGUUUGACGGUACCCU
rnacentral:rRNA from 1 species